rnacentral:rRNA from 1 species
UACAGAGGUCUCAAGCGUUGUUCGGAUUCAUUGGGCGUAAAGGGUGCGUAGGUGGUGCUGUAAGUCAGGUGUGAAAUCUCGGGGCUCAACCCCGAAACUGCACUUGAUACUGCAGUGCUCGAGGACUGGAGAGGAGAUUGGAAUUCAUGGUGUAGCAGUGAAAUGCGUAGAUAUCAUGAGGAAUACCGAUGGCGAAGGCAGCCCCCUGGGAUAACACUGACGCUCAUGCACGAAAGCGUGGGGAGCAAACAGG